rnacentral:rRNA from 1 species
AUUGAACGCUGGCGGCAGGCCUAACACAUGCAAGUCGAACGAGUGGCGGACGGGUGAGUAAUGUCGGGGACACUGCCAGAUGGAGGGGGAUAACUACUGGAAACGGUAGCCAAUACCGCAUACCAUCGGAUGUGCCCAGAUGGGAUUAGCUAGUAGGUGGGGUAAAGGCUCACCUAGGCGACGAUCCCUAGCUGGUCUGAGAGGAUGACCAGCCACACUGGAACUUAGACACGGUCCAGACUCCUACGGGAGGAAGCAGUGGGGAAUAUUGCACAAUGGGAGCAAGCCUGAUGCAGCCGUGCCGCGUGUAUGAAGAAGGCCAUCGGGUUGUAAAGUACUUUCCGCGAGGAAGCGUUACCCGCAGAAGUAGCACCGGCUAACUCCGUGCCAGCAGCCGCGGUAAUAC